rnacentral:rRNA from 1 species
UACGUAGGGUGCGAGCGUUAAUCGGAAUUACUGGGCGUAAAGCGUGCGCAGGCGGUUUUGUAAGACAGAUGUGAAAUCCCCGGGCUUAACCUGGGAAUGGCAUUUGGGACUGUAAGGCUGGAGUGCGGCAGAGGAGACUGGAAUUCCUGGUGUAGCAGUGAAAUGCGUAGAUAUCAGGAGGAAUACCGAUGGCGAAGGCAGGUCUCUGGGCUGACACUGACGCUCAUGCACGAAAGCGUGGGGAGCAAACAGG